AGAUACUACUAUGUACAUUUUGUUUUACUAUAACUAAUACUAAAGAACUAGAAACUGAGCAUAAUUUGGAAUAAAAGUUUCAUUACUUAUUCCGGUCGUCUCAAAAUAUAGUAUUACAGAUCACUGAGCAUUGGAACUCACGUACAAGCAUUUGUUGUUGUUUUGUCACGGAAAUAGGGAUCGUACGUGAUUGACCCUACACUGUAGAAGUCCAAACCAGACCGAGUAUACUCAUACUACGUUCCUCAGUCACCGGGAUGAAAUUAUGGGACCGAAUGGGACUCAAUAAAUCAGAAUUCUCUUUAAGUCUCACAAAUCACAGUACAGUCAUUUGAAACCAAUGGCAUAUUAAUUCUAGCAGUCUAGGAAAGAAUUAAUGGUUAUUAAUGUUGUACUUUCGAGACAAGUUGAAAACGGUUUUAUUUGUGUCAAUUUAUAAAAGGAUUACAAAAUUAAAAUACCAAGAACAGUGAGCUGGUUUUAUUGUUCCCUAUACAACUAGGUAAGAAC